GAUGAAUGCUGGCGGCGUGCCUAAUACAUGCAAGUCGAGCGCCCCUUUAAGAGGUGACAAUAGUAAUUGUCGGUUCUUAUGGGGGAGCGGCGGACGGCUGAGUAACACGUGGGAACAUGCCCCAAAGUGAGGGAUAAGCACCGGAAACGGUGUCUAAUACCGCAUAUGCUCUUCGGAGUAAAGCUUUAUGCGCUUUGGGAGUGGCCUGCGUCCUAUUAGAUAGUUGGUGAGGUAAGGGCUCACCAAGUCAACGAUGGGUAACUGGUCUGAGAGGAUGAUCAGUCAGACUGGAACUGAGACACGGUCCAGACUCCUACGGGAGGCAGCAGUAAGGAAUCUUCCACAAUGGGCGAAAAGCCUGAUGGAGCAACGCCGCGUGCAGGAUGAAGGCCUUCGGGUCGUAAACGUGCUUUUAUUAGUGAAGAAUAUGACGGUAACUAAUAGAAUAAGGAUCGGCUAACUACGUGCCAGCAGCCGCGGUAAACGACGAAGAGUACGU
rnacentral:rRNA from 1 species